rnacentral:rRNA from 2 species
UUAAGUGACUAAGCGUACAAGGUGGAUGCCUUGGCAAUCAGAGGCGAAGAAGGACGUGCUAAUCUGCGAAAAGCUUGGAUGAGUCGAUAAGAGGCGUUUAAUCCAAGAUAUCCGAAUGGGGAAACCCAGUAGAUGAAGAAUCUACUAUCAACAAGUGAAUUCAUAGCUUGUUGAGGCAAACCGGGAGAACUGAAACAUCUAAGUACCCCGAGGAAAAGAAAUCAACCGAGAUUUCGUCAGUAGCGGCGAGCGAAAGCGAAAGAGCCAGUAAGUGAUAGCAAUAUAGUGAGGAGAAUGUGUUGGGAAGCACAAUCAAAGAGGGUGAUAAUCCCGUAUCUAAAAACCAUAUUGUGGUACUAAGCUAACGAGAAGUAGGGCGGGACACGUGAUAUCCUGUUUGAAGAAGGGGGGCCCAUCCUCCAAGGCUAAAUACUCCUGAUUGACCGAUAGUGAACCAGUACUGUGAAGGAAAGGCGAAAAGAACCCCGGUGAGGGGAGUGAAAUAGAACCUGAAACCUUGUACGUACAAGCAGUGGGAGCGAGGGCAACCUUGUGACUGCGUACCUUUUGUAUAAUGGGUCAGCGACUUAUAUUUUGUAGCGAGGUUAACCGAAUAGGGGAGCCGAAGGGAAACCGAGUCUUAACUGGGCGAAUAGUUGCAAGGUAUAGACCCGAAACCCGGUGAUCUAGCCAUGGGCAGGUUGAAGGUUGGGUAACACUAACUGGAGGACCGAACCGACUAAUGUUGAAAAAUUAGCGGAUGACUUGUGGCUGGGGGUGAAAGGCCAAUCAAACCGGGAGAUAGCUGGUUCUCCCCGAAAUCUAUUUAGGUAGAGCCUUGAGGUGACACCUUUGGGGGUAGAGCACUGUUUCGGCUAGGGGGCCAUCCCGGCUUACCAACCCGAUGCAAACUACGAAUACCAAAGAGUGAUACUCAGGAGACACACGGCGGGUGCUAACGUCCGUCGUGGAGAGGGAAACAACCCAGACCGCCAGCUAAGGUCCCCAAGUCUAUAUUAAGUGGGAAACGAAGUGGGAAGGCUUAGACAGCUAGGAUGUUGGCUUAGAAGCAGCCAUCAUUUAAAGAAAGCGUAAUAGCUCACUAGUCGAGUCGGCCUGCGCGGAAGAUGUAACGGGGCUGAAAUAUAGCACCGAAGCUGCGGCAUCAGAAUUUAUUCUGUUGGGUAGGGGAGCGUUGUGUAAGCGGAAGAAGGUUCAUCGAGAGGUGGGCUGGACGUAUCACAAGUGCGAAUGCUGACAUAAGUAACGAUAAAACGGGUGAAAAACCCGUUCGCCGGAAGACCAAGGGUUCCUGUCCAACGUUAAUCGGGGCAGGGUGAGUCGGCUCCUAAGGCGAGGCUGAAAAGCGUAGUCGAUGGGAAACAGGUUAAUAUUCCUGUACUUGGUAAAGCUGCGAUGUGGGGACGGAGUAGGUUAGGUUAUCGCACUGUUGGAUAUGUGCGUUUAAGUUGGUAGGUGGGAAGUUUAGGCAAAUCCGGACUUCCUUAACACAGAGAGAUGAUGACGAGGCUCUACGGAGCUGAAGUAACUGAUACCACACUUCCAGGAAAAGCCACUAAGCGAAAGGCUUUACUAAACCGUACUGAAAACCGACACAGGUGGUCAGGUAGAGAAUACUCAGGCGCUUGAGAGAACUCGGGUGAAGGAACUAGGCAAAAUAGCACCGUAACUUCGGGAGAAGGUGCGCCGGCGUAGAUUGUAAGGGCUAGCCCCUGAAGGUUGAACCGGUCGAAGAUACCAGCUGGCUGCAACUGUUUAUUAAAAACACAGCACUCUGCAAACACGAAAGUGGACGUAUAGGGUGUGAUGCCUGCCCGGUGCUGGAAGGUUAAUUGAUGGUGUCAUCGAAAGAGAAGCACCUGAUCGAAGCCCCAGUAAACGGCGGCCGUAACUAUAACGGUCCUAAGGUAGCGAAAUUCCUUGUCGGGUAAGUUCCGACCUGCACGAAUGGCAUAAUGAUGGCCAGGCUGUCUCCACCCGAGACUCAGUGAAAUUGAAAUCGCCGUGAAGAUGCGGUGUACCCGCGGCUAGACGGAAAGACCCCGUGAACCUUUACUAUAGCUUGACACUGAACAUUGAAUUUUGAUGUGUAGGAUAGGUGGGAGCCUUUGAAGCAGUGACGCCAGUCAUUGUGGAGGCGACCUUGAAAUACCACCCUUUAACGUUUGAUGUUCUAACGAAGAUGACGAAACGUGGUCUCGGACAGUGUCUGGUGGGUAGUUUGACUGGGGCGGUCUCCUCCCAAAGCGUAACGGAGGAGCACGAAGGUUUGCUAAUCACGGUCGGACAUCGUGAGGUUAGUGCAAUGGUAUAAGCAAGCUUAACUGCGAGACAGACAAGUCGAGCAGGUACGAAAGUAGGUCAUAGUGAUCCGGUGGUUCUGAAUGGAAGGGCCAUCGCUCAACGGAUAAAAGGUACUCCGGGGAUAACAGGCUGAUACCGCCCAAGAGUUCAUAUCGACGGCGGUGUUUGGCACCUCGAUGUCGGCUCAUCACAUCCUGGGGCUGAAGUAGGUCCCAAGGGUAUGGCUGUUCGCCAUUUAAAGUGGUACGCGAGCUGGGUUUAGAACGUCGUGAGACAGUUCGGUCCCUAUCUGCCGUGGGCGUAGGAUGAUUGAUUGGGGCUGCUCCUAGUACGAGAGGACCGGAGUGGACGCAUCACUGGUGUUCCGGUUGUGUCGCCAGACGCAUUGCCGGGUAGCUAAAUGCGGAAGAGAUAAGUGCUGAAAGCAUCUAAGCACGAAACUUGCCAAGAGAUGAGUCAUCCCUGACUUUAAGUCAGUAAGGGUUGUUGUAGACUACGACGUAGAUAGGUUGGGUGUGUAAGUGAUGUGAGUCAUUGAGCUAACCAAUACUAAUUGCCCGAGAGGCUUAACUAU